AACAUAGGAAUUCAACCCACAACAGAGCAUUUUCACAGCCUCCAGCAGGGAGAGAGGAACAUGUAAGGGGCAGCUGCAAGUGAGGGGCGAGGAGGGAAGGUGGGAGAUGGGGAAGGAGGUGGCAGAGGAGGGGCAGCCAGGGUGGCAAGAAGGAGUAGAGGCAGGAGCAUCAGAGAAAGCCUGCCUCCAUGUAUACAUUCAUUCAUUCAUUUCUGAGACCCUGUUGUUGUUCUCAGGGAUCUUCUAAUUUAGCUCAUGUAUGUGGCUGUUUAAAUUAAUUGACGUUACAUACAAUUAAAAUUUCACGUCUUCAGUCUCACUAGCUACAUUUCAAGGGUGUUUUGCUACCAUUUGGAACAUCACCGAUACAGAAUGUUUCCAGUCCAGAGAGUCGCACAUGGGAAAUGUGGUGGAAGAAGAAAGAAUAACAACAGGAGGAAAGAUGGAGAGGGAUUGAAAGGAGGUAGAAGGGCCACAGCUAGCCUUGAACUCCAGCGGCAUUCAAGUGAGCCUGUGGCAUUUAGAGAUGAGUGAGGAGACCUAUGUGACCUGGGACAGUUGAGUUGGGAGGUUCCUGGCUAAACAGCUGGGUGACAGGUGACCAUGGAAUAGGGCUUUAUCUCACAGCCCACUUUUUUUUUUUUUUCUGUUUUUUUUUUUUUUUUUCUUUUUGGUCUCACCCUGGCAUUUAGAAGUUCCCAGGCAAGGGACUGCAUCCUUGCCACAGCAGUGACAGCACCGGAUCCUUAUCCCGCUGAAGUAACUGAGCAGGACCGUGGGAGUCCUUCCCAGAGUGGACCCCCCCCCACUCAUGUCCUCCACUUGCCUUUUUAUCUAUAGAAAACUUUAGUCAAAGAAUCAAUUUAAUCAGAGAAGUGAGGAAAAAAAAUACAGAGAGAAAAGAAGACAGUCAAGCAAGAUAGAAUAAUAAUAGUUUGGCCAUUCAACGGAGUCAAGGACCUUUAGUUAGGUCUUCUUCAAGGACUACAGGUAAUAUUCCAAGCCAUGUCCUUGAAGGUGUUUUGUAGGCACUAAAGCCCCCUCUGCGUGGAAGAAGCAAACUGUGUGCUGCCUACACGCCUGUAGACCCCGGGUGGACUGGAAUCAGAAGCUUGAUGAUGCUGACUUCCAAUGACCUCACCACUCACCAAUCAGGAAAAUGUCCAGGGGCUGACCACGCCCCACUCCUCAAACACUCUAAUGCGCCUCACUACCCCCUCCAAGAGAGGGGGCUCAGUCCUUCAGGCACUAGCCUGCUGUGAUCUCCUCUUUGUCUGACAAUUAAAGCUACUUUUUCUGUUUCCUCCAACCCUGACUCUGAGUUUCUGUUCGGCUGCGGUGUACAGAGGCAGCCAAGAUUUUGGCAACCGGAGCCACCAGGGAACUCACAGCCCACUUCCGAGAAGCAUUUACUCAUCAUGAGGGGUGGUGUUCUGGAAAGGUCCCCCCCAAAUCUCCAAUUUGGUAAUAACUGGCUCAAAGCAGAGCAGAGCAGGGUAGAAGGGCACUGGGAGGCCUUCUUCGAGACCUGGGCAAGCUCCUGUCUAGAGCCCCCGGUGAGGCUGGAGGAGGCCAUGUGGCCCCAAGGCCCCUUCCUCAUGCUCCUGCAAAUGCUUCCAAAUUGGCCAAGAUGAGAAGACAGGAAGAGAAGUCAAGGCGACCUAGUUAAAGACUUUUGAUUAAUAAUAAGGCGUCUUUCAGUAAUAACACGGAUAACACGCUUUUAAGGACUGAAUACAAGCUAUUUUAUGCAUAUCCUGGUGGGAGACAGCACAGCCGAAGAAACCUUGGGGAUUACUGGGUCUCAGAAGCAGAAUGUGACGGCCAGCGCCGCACCGCUAUUGACAGAGGGAGCGCAUGUGUGGCUGGGAGGGACAGGGGGCGACACGGGAUCACCAGGGAGCCAUCCCCACAGGCCUGAGCAGACACAGCGGAGGUCAGGGCUCGGUGACAGGCCUUUGCGCUCUGCUUUGCUCUCUGAAUUUUAAGAGCAAUAAAGUAAAACUGCAGUACAUCAAAAGCAGAAAUGAGCAAAGGUUACAGAGGAGUUGGAAGCUGUUUAACUUGUAAAAGAGAAGCUAAGAAGCGCAACAUACAGCCUUACUCUCAGUAGCCUGAGAAGCUAUGACAAGGAGACAGCUCUUUCUGGAAGGGGUUGAGGUGAGCUUGAUUCCUGCAUAAAGAGGCCUGUGUGGGAAGGACUCUGACGAUUGCUGACGUUUUCAUUAAUAAUUGUUUCCUGGGGAACGUGGGUACUUCAGCUUAGAGCGGGGGCCUGGAAUGGUCAGCACCCGGUGUGGCAAUAAAUAUUUGAGUCCACUGGUGACCAGAUGUGCUCUUAAGACGCUCUGCAUUUCGAGCACCAACACCUUCCUCUCGCCCUCCAUCGCCUCCCACCUGCGUUGGCAGAAUGACUGCCGUCUGCGACCUGUGUGUCUUUCCGCGAGGAGGAAGGUCUUUCUGCGCGUAGGAAGCUCGGUCCGCAAGGCCUCUCUGAGUCCUUGACUCCUUGGGCCACAGCACCGGCUGUUCAGCAGUUCGUGUAGCCCGGCAUUGCCUUCUUCCCCUUGGGAGCCGGUGCUCUCUGCUGAUGCUCCAAGGGUCGCGGACUCAUCCCCUCCACGGUAGCGGGGCGCCGACCCAUGGUGGGAAGGGGUGUCACUAUCAGGAAGGCCCUGGGCCCUUAUACCUGGCUGACCUUAUCAACACCAAGGAUGAGAGCCUCCAACUGCUGCUCUACUCGUUAUUCUCAAAUGAUUCAGAACUCAGGCAAGAAAGAGGAUUGAUUAGCUAGUGGGGGGUGGGGUGAAGGUAGGGGUGGCUUCAAGACCCCUCUGCAGUCUGGCUGCAACAGUAAGCCAAGGAUCUCCCCACGUUCGCUCCCCUGGAUUCCAUUCUCACUGCCCCUGGGAGCUCUGCAAAUUACAAAUCCGAUGUGUUGCUUCUGGCCUAAAAUCCUGCACUGGUUUCCCAUCGCAACGGGAAUAAAACUAAACUCCUUUCCGGAGCCCAGGAUCUGGCCUCCUGCUCUCUUGCUCUGAGUCCCAGGCGCUGCGGAGGAGGCUGCUGCAGAAAGGGCCAGCUGGAUUGGGCCUUAGGGACUUGACAGUGGCCUUCCCACCGUCUAGAAAGUUCUUUGCCCUCUUGCAUUCCUCUGUAACCUCCCAUGAGAGUCUUCUUUCAGCCCCACCCCCACGUCUGCUCCAAACUAGUCUCCGCCCCCGCUCUUCCUGGGGAUCCUUUUGUUCUCUCCGUGGCACUAAUGACGUUACCAUGUGUACUUGAUAGCUCUCGUUUACCGACUGUCUCCAUCGCCAAGAGAGACAGGAUUCUCUUGAGAGCAGGGAUCUAGUCCCUCUCCAUUUGCUUUGCAUCCUCAGGACCUGGCAGAGCAGUCGCUCAAUGAAUAUGAGCGAUGAGGGCAGGAGAGAAGGAGAAAAAGCGCGAUGCACAGGACAAACCCUGUACCAGGAACCGAGUGAAGUGGGGUUUCAGACCCUGCUCCCCGCUAAUAACUGAGUGCUGGUCACUUACCUCUAAUUUUUACCUUCCUUCAUCUCUAAAGCAAGGGGGGCUUCACUCUCUGCGUUGGGAUACUCUUGAAAAGGCCAGACAUCCUUUUGAAGAGUCUCUUGCUUAGGAAAUAUGUGUUUUCCCGGCCCCGGGCUGCUAAUAUCUUUCCCCCUGCCUGUUCCUUUCCAGUAUUUAAUGCGGCAGCUGAAUUAUUUAACUGUCCCUGCGCGAGCCGCUGCGGCCGAAAGGGAGCGAUUUUAAAUGAGAACAUUACAGUCGCAGCUAAUGGAGCAGGAGCGAGAAAACACUUGUCCUGGGCCGGCAGCACCAAAUACCCCUUAUCACCCUCGACGACCGUAUUAUUUUAAUGUUAAACACAGUACAUUGCAAACUAGUAAAGUCACAUUCAGACUUGCCUCCCCUCUGGUUGUCCGGUCACAGGCACGUGCCUUAAUAAGUUUUCCUUAUUGCGAGGUUUCUCAGCCGCUCGAGUCCGCUCGGCAGCUUUAUCUCCUUGGGUACCUUCCGUGGAACCAGGCAAUAAAGUCUCCUUUUAAAAGUACAAUGCGUUUCCCCAACCCUAUUCUUCUGGGGCUUUUAUGACUCACAAUUGACAAAGCCCUCGCUAAUGGAAAUGCAAAUUUCCUACCUGUCAAAGACUGAGAAUGCUUUCUGAAAACACUGGCUGGCGGGGCAGAAAGAACAUUAGCAAUCUUGCAUAUUCGGGGGAGAAGCAGCCUCCUGUGAAUUUGUGGGAUAAAAAUGUUUAUUUAAUGCUGGGCCAUAAAUAAAAUAGCAGUGGUUAGAUCUCCCACACAGACCGGACAAUUCCUUGGGAAUUUCAAACUUUUUGAUCCCUUUGGUUUCAGCACCUGUUUCAUUCAGAUUCAAAUCACCCGACACCGCUUUUAUAAAGGCUUUGAUUUGGGGACCAGGAAGGUGGGGUGCCCUGGAUCUCUCCUGCUGCUUUACUGAGAAAAUUGGGCGCAAGUUUGGGUGACGCUUGGCUGCCCUGGGAUUUGUCACUUCUGAAGCAACAUCACUGCCUGGUCUCUUCCUCCUCUGUUGUUACUACUAUUUAACUCUGUGUGUGUGUGUGUGUGUGUGUGUGUGUGUGUGUGUGCAAUGGUUCCUAAAAAGCCAGGGUGACUUCCUAAAAGAGUCUGCCAGGGCUUG
rnacentral:lncRNA from 1 species